AGCAGCCGCGGUAAUUCCAGCUCCAAUAGCGUAUAUUAAAGUUGUUGCAGUUAAAAAGCUCGUAGUUGAAUUUCGGGAUCAAUAUAUCGGUCGUGCCUUUGGUACGUACUGGUAUCAUUGAUUUCUCCUUUCUGACGAAUCAUGAUGUCAUUAAUUUGGUGUUAUGGGGAGUUAGGACUGUUACUUUGAAAAAAUUAGAGUGUUUAAAGCAGGCAUUAGCUUGAAUACAUUAGCAUGGAAUAAUGAAAUAGGACGUUUGACCCUAUUUUGUUGGUUUUUAGGAUCGACGUAAUGAUUAAUAGGGAUAGUUGGGGGCAUUAGUAUUCAAUUGUCAGAGGUGAAAUUCUUGGAUUUAUUGAAGACUAACUACUGACGAAAGCAUUUGCCAAGGAUUGUUUUCAUUAAUCAAGAACGAAAGUUAGGGAUCGAAGACGAUCAGAUACCGUCGUAGUCUUAACCAUAAACUAUGACCGACUAGGGGAUCGGAUGAUUAGUUAAUUUUANAAUGACCCUAUUCGGCGUCCGUUAACGGGAAACCUAAA
rnacentral:rRNA from 1 species